rnacentral:rRNA from 1 species
AGUGAACGCUGGCGGUAGGCCUAACACAUGCAAGUCGAACGGCAGCACAGUAAGAGCUUGCUCUUACGGGUGGCGAGUGGCGGACGGGUGAGGAAUACAUCGGAAUCUACUUUUUCGUGGGGGAUAACGUAGGGAAACUUACGCUAAUACCGCAUACGACCUACGGGUGAAAGCAGGGGAUCUUCGGACCUUGCGCGAUUGAAUGAGCCGAUGUCGGAUUAGCUAGUUGGCGGGGUAAAGGCCCACCAAGGCGACGAUCCGUAGCUGGUCUGAGAGGAUGGUCAGCCCCACUGGAACUGAGACACGGUCCAGACUCCUACGGGAGGCAGCAGUGGGGAAUAUUGGACAAUGGGCGCAAGCCUGAUCCAGCCAUACCGCGUGGGUGAAGAAGGCCUUCGGGUUGUAAAGCCCUUUUGUUGGGAAAGAAAAGCAGCAGGUUAAUACCCCGCUGUUCUGACGGUACCCAAAGAAUAAGCACCGGCUAACUUCGUGC